UCUCUGAAUAUGGGGGGACCAUCCUCCAAGGCUAAAUACUCCUGACUGACCGAUAGUGAACCAGUACCGUGAGGGAAAGGCGAAAAGAACCCCGGCGAGGGGAGUGAAAAAGAACCUGAAACCGUGUACGUACAAGCAGUGGGAGCACAGGUUUACCUGUGUGACUGCGUACCUUUUGUAUAAUGGGUCAGCGACUUAUAUUCUGUAGCAAGGUUAACCGUAUAGGGGAGCCGKAGGGAAACCGAGUCUUAACCGGGCGUUAAGUUGCAGGGUAUAGACCCGAAACCCGGUGAUCUAGCCAUGGGCAGGUUGAAGGUUGGGUAACACUAACUGGAGGACCGAACCGACUAAUGUUGAAAAAUUAGCGGAUGACCUGUGGCUGGGGGUGAAAGGCCAAUCAAACCGGGAGAUAGCUGGUUCUCCCCGAAAGCUAUUUAGGUAGCGCCUCGUGAAUUCAUCUCCGGGGGUAGAGCACUGUUUCGGCUAGGGGGCCAUCCCGGC
rnacentral:rRNA from 1 species